UUUAUGGAGAGUUUGAUCCUGGCUCAGGAUGAACGCUGGCGGCGUGCCUAAUACAUGCAAGUCGAGCGAACGGAUGAGAAGCUUGCUUCUCUGAUGUUAGCGGCGGACGGGGGAGGAACACGUGGAUAACCUACCUAUAAGACUGGGAUAACUUCGGGAAACCGGAGCUAAUACCGGAUAAUAUUUUGAACCGCAUGGUUCA
rnacentral:rRNA from 1 species